CUUCCUAGCAUCCCACGUAUCCCAUCCCAAUUUGUCCACAUUUAUUGUCUUCUUUUUGUGCCCCAAAAGUCUCCUUCUUAUCCUAUUUUUCUGGCUGCCUCAGACCAGAAAGUCCAGCAGCUCCUUUUCUUCUUUCUCUAUUCCUCUUUCCUUCUUCUUGUUUCCUUCUUCUCCCCUUCUUACACGGCAGCCUUCCCUCUCUCACCAAAGAAAAAUAUCCCUCUCUAAAGAAGAAAUUAAAGGGCUAACACAAAAAUUUCAGCUUCAAAUUGUUGGGGGUGUUACCAGUAUCCAAGUCUAAGCUCCUUCAACUGUAGGCUCCCGGUUCCUCUGUUUUCAGGUAAGGGAUAAGUUAUAUGGGCAUUUGGUAAGUCAUGAGGUUAUUUUAAAGUAUAUUAUGCAUUAAAAUGUUUUUUAUUAGAGAUAUGACAUGUAAUCAUUAUUCUAACAAAGAUAUGUUCGUGAGCUUUCGAAAAACUUAUGUAUAUGAUUUAAGCAUAUUGAUACUAUUAUUGAUUCCACAAACAUGAUGUUUAAAGAAAAGAAUGGAAAUGCUAUUAUUAUGAAAUGUUAUGCAAAAUAAGAAGUUUUAGUAUGAUGUAAAGUAUGAAGUAUUUGCGGGUUAUAUCCUUUAAUGAUCUGAACUCGGUAGUAGGGGUUAAUUACUGGCUUUCCAUGGAAAAAUGUUAUCUGUUUGGCCAUUUAAAGUAAAGGAAAUGGGGUUGCCCGUAACUCUAAUCUGAAUAAGGUCUUCUCCCCAAUAUGUACGGAAGGCGGGAAGGAACAAAACCUGGAGAGGAUGUGCCAUCAGGCCUCCCAAAGGGGACAAUAUCAUACACACGGGGGCACCCAAAUGUGAUGAGGCCUUCUCUAUACAGACUUAUCAGAUAUGGACUAACCAAUAAGUUAUUUAUGAACAGUUAUAUAUGUUAUUAGUCAUGAGAGAAUGAUUUUGUAUAAAUGCGUUAUGAAAAGUUAAAUGCUCUCAUGAAAAGAAGUUCUGAUAAAAAUAAAAGUUGUUCAUUAAAGAUAAAAGUUUCUGAAGUUCUGUUGUACUAUAAAGUUAAAGCUUCUGAUGAAAUUACAAAUUAUGUUUAAAAGUUAUUAGAUACCUGUUCUUUAUGAAGUGUUAAGUUUUAUGACUAUGAAGGUUAUAAUAUUUUUCAGGAAAAUGUUUAUAAAGAAAGAUUUUCUUAUUGGGUCAAGAUGUUUCUAGUUUAGUACAAAGUUGCCGAUUAUCUGAUUUAAGUUAAAAUGAUUAUUUUGUAAUGAGAAUAUACAUAUGGUGACUUUGUAGGAAAUGAAAUAAGCUUAAUCUGAAAGGUUUUGGUAAUAUUAACCUGAUAAGAAAAAGGAGAACAAUUAUUUUCUAUGAAAAGCGUAUAAGUUAUUAUUAUAAAUAGUAUAAAAUAAUAUGCAUAAAAAGAUGUUCUCCUGUUCGAAUAUUCAUAGAAUGAAAUGAUAUGAUUUACAUGCAUCCUUAUUGAAUUCUCAUAUAUCUUACCUUUACUGAGUUGUGUAGCUCACCUCUUCUACUCUUUCAGUUAGCAGGUUUUAUUUUGGAGCAGAGGGAGCCUUAAUCGAGUUUUGGAAGGAGCUGGUUUAGUUUUAUAUGUAUAGAUCCUAAAUUAGCAAUAUGAUGUUUAGAUUUGUAGCAUUGUUUGUUUUAGGAUCUAAUGAAAGUGUAUACCUUAAAGUAUUAAGAGAUGUAUUAUGUGAAAUUCCGAAUUUGAACAAUUGGUGAAUUAUGUUAUUCUUUGGAGUACAA